AGUAAUCCACACCCUGCUUGUUUGGAGAGGAGGGAGGCCCAACUGGCAACGCAGCAGCAGCAGCAGCAUCUCCUUCCUUCCAUCGGCGGUCGGCGCCUCGGCCGCACGAGGCCGCCGCCGCCGCCAGCAGGGGAGGCGAGGGGUUCUCCGCGCCGCUGGUGGCUGACACACCCUGCCGUAGGAGCUGCUCCACCUCCGCGGUCCGCUAGGCGCCACUCCACCCGCCCAUUCUCCACUCUCCAGGCUCUGCUCGAGGCUGCGCCGCCCGACAUCGACGACGCCCUCACGCCCGACGCCCGAGCGGGAGCAGCCGAGCCUAGUGCCAGCGUGGCUGCGUAUUUCUGCGGCCGCCCGACGCCACGACCGGCCGGCGCCGUGACGGGCGACGCCGGCACUCCACGACGGCGGACGGCCACAGCUACACAGGAGCCAUCCCCAAUCGGCAAAUUCCCUCACGGCGACUGGUAAAUGCUUCGUGCUGGAAGAAUUUGUUCAGGAUCUUAUGCACGCCAUGCUGUAUCUUCAUUACUGUUGGGUCCACGAUGUUUGUUUGCUCUCGAAAGUCCACACUGCUUGGACUGCAAGUGUCAUGGGAUUAACCAAACAGGAGAUAACAAUACUAAAUUCUUGAGUCCGCAGCUAAAUGUAGGCAGUCAUGGCACUUUCUUUUCCACUAUUACUGAAACAAUUCUAGUCCAAGCUCGUGAUCCAUCUCAGCUAUCACUGGAGAUAGAGAAUGCAAUCGAUGAGCGGAGAUUUGAUGAUGCAUGGAGGGCUUAUGAGAAGCAUGUUCACAUGGAUGGACUUCCAAGAAAGUCCGUUUUGAGCAAACUCAUCACUGGCUUGGCAGAGACCUGUGAUGCUCACUGGCUUAACCAGUCCUACAAUGUGGUCAGUCAUGCAUUUGAAGAGAAGCAUGAAUUGUUGGGUAAGGAGCCCCUGAUUUACCUAUCUCUCACCCUUGCACGCUGUGCUCUGCCUAAUCUUGCUAUAAAUGUUGUGAGGAAGUUGGUAAAGAUGGAGGCAUACCCACCUGUUUCAGCUUGGUCAGCAAUUGUAGCACAUAUGUGUCAAACCAACACUGGUGCAUUUCUUGCUGCAGACCUUGUUAUGGAGCUUGGUUACCUUUUCCAGAAUAAUAGAGUUGAUCCACGGAAGAAGAGCAACCGCCCUUUGCUAUCAAUGAAACCCAAUUCAUUUACAUUCAAUAUUGUUCUGACUGCAGCUCUCCUGUUUGGUACUACAAGAAAAGCGGAGCAGCUUCUCGAACUAAUGCCUAGGAUAGGGGUGAAGCCUGAAGUCAACUUGUUGAUUGUUAUGGCCCGCAUAUAUGAAAGGAAUGGGCACAGAGAUGAGAUUCAGAAGUUAAAGAGGCAUGUUGAUGAGGCCUAUGGUCUUAGCGAAUCAGAGUUCAGGCAGUUUUAUGAUUGUCUGCUCUCCUGUCAUUUGAAAUUUGGGGAUUUGGAUUCUGCAGUUGAUAUGGUGUUGGAUAUGCUAAGAAAAGGCAAGAAUGCAAAGCGGUCAUUGGAAGCAGCCAAAGCAGUUCUUGAAGCUGUUGAAAAUAGGAGACUUUAUUUCCCUUAUGAGAAGACUGAGGCUGAAAAUCCAUGCUCUUCAGAGAGACCUAUAUCUAAUAGCCAAAUGCUAAGUUAUGUUUCGUUCUUCAAAGACAAUAGCUUUGCAAGACUUGAAUUGGAGGCACGAGAAUUACUCGAGCUGUUAUCGGAUAAGCUGCAGGAACAGGUUGGACUGGUGAAAUCUGAACAUGGUAUCCUCCACCCAACUGAAACAAUGUACGCCAAGCUUGUUAAAGCUUUUCUGGAAGCAGAUAAGAUCAGUGCAUUGGCUUCGUUUCUUGUGAAAGCAAGCAAAGAAGAUUCUCCUGUGUCUGUUGAAAGGUCCUUUGUUGUUCAAGUGAUAAAUGCGUGCAUUUGUCUUGGGUUAUUAGAGCAAGCGCAUGAUCUUCUGGAUGAAAUGAGAUUCUCUGGGAUUAGAGUUGGUUCAUCCAUCUAUUCAUCACUCCUAAAAGCCUAUUGCAAAGAGGGCCAACAUGAAGAUGACAUAACUGCACUUUUGAAGGAUGCUCAACAAGCAGGCAUUCAGCUUGACGCAAGCUGCUAUGAGGAUUUGAUACAAUCUAGGGCGAGUCACAGUAACACCCCAGGUGCUCUCCAUCUUUUUAAAGAAUUGAAGAAUUCAAAUGUUUUGAAAUCUGGUCACAAGGAAUUUCAGACUUUAGUGCAAGGCUCUGAUGAAAAUGAAGCUGUUUUGACGACCAGGCUAGUGGAGGAAGUAAGAAGUGGUCAUAUGGUUGAUCAUGCUGUUCAUGACUGGAAUAAUGUCAUCCAUUUCUUCUGCAAGAAGAGAUUGAUGCAUGAUGCUCACAGUGCACUGAACAAGAUGCGAGCUUCUGGCCAUGUGCCAAAUGCACAAACUUUUCAUUCUUUAAUCACUGCUUAUGCUGCCAUUGGUGGCAAAUAUGUGGAGGUGACAGAUUUGUGGGGUGAAAUGAAAGUUCUGGCUGGUUCAAGCUCUAUGAAGUUUGAUCAGGAGCUCUUGGACUCUCUGUUGUAUUGCUUUGUGAGAGGUGGUUUCUUCCUUCGAGCCAUGGAAGUUAUAGAGAUGAUGGAGAAAAGCGAUAUGUUUAUAGACAAAUACAAGUACAAGUCCUUGUGGCUUAAAUAUCACAGGACAUUGUACAAAGGUAAGGCUCCCAAGGUGCAAACAGAAGCACAGCUAAAAAGGAGAGAAGCAGCAAUACAUUUCAAGAAAUGGAUUGGGUUGACAUGAGAGCAUAAGAUUCAACUCAUACUCUAUGAUAUUUGAUCAGGAGCUCUUUUAUCAUCUGCUAUGUGGAUAGAUCUUUACAAAUUCCUGAAAAUCAUAAUCAUAGAGUUCAUUAGAAGGCACAUAUAUCAAGUCUACUUUGCUUCAAACAGAAGUACCGAAGUUGUAAUGGGCUAAUGGCUGAAACAAUAACUUCCUCUAUGUGGUGCAAGGGUGCUUGUUGAUAAAGAUGGUAGUUUGGUACAAGGGGUUGAUUGAUAACAAAGUGCACUGGAUGAGGCAUCUGAUUCUAGCUCCGAACCUAACCCCUCCUCCAAGGAACAGAAUGGUUGAGUGCACUAAGGAUGUCUUCUUAUGUGCUCUAAGCACAAAUUUCCUGUUGGACGCUAAUUAAGCAGCUAUGCACUAAGGAUGCCUUUGGAUACUCCAUAAGGAAAAUUAACAGGAAGGGUGUCCACCUUGUCUUUGGUUCAAUCCAAAAGAUAUUGAUGUGUCCGCUGUGUUAUGUUGCCUCUCAUGGAGUGGCGUGAAUGUUCGCUGGCUACACGUACCAACUGAUUGAAGUUGUACAGCUAAAUUUGGUUUUUGAUUUGUGCGUAUGGAGCUGAGGAACACAUACGCACAUUGUUUUUUUUUUAUAAGGCAUACUCACAUUGUUUGAACCAGAGCUGGAGAGUAGAAAUCCACUUCUGCAGGACUUAAAUCUUCACAUGGAAGUACCUUUGUACUUGGAGAAAAGUAUUAGAUUUGAGCAGCAGAACUGGAGAGAUUUAGAGCAUGUGGGGAUGAAUCCUCAACUCCUCCUGAGCGUUCUCGUUAAUUUCUCCAUAUAUCUGGACCGUAUGUAAUUAGACAAAAUGAAUGAAGAGGCCGGUCCAGAGACGAUGCUGCAUGCAUGUCAACUAUAGCAAACAAGUACAAGCUAGGACUCUCCUGGCGACAGUGGCUGCUGCCUGUGGGCUAGGGCUCUUCUGCCGCAUGCUCUGGAAGGUGAUCAACAAGACAUCGCGUGCCUCGGUAUUCGGGCUCCAUCAGACGGGUAGACGAUGAUAGCCACUUUGCUCGUCGAUCAGUUCCCCUCCCAAUCGUGCAUGAUGCGUGCUAAAGCACGCCGGGGGUGUGGUGCUUCGGAAAGAGCAGCAGCAGCAGCAGCCAUAGGCACCCGGCCGGCCUGCGUGCAGUGCAUGAGCAUGACGACCUGAGGCACACUCCCCAAUCAUGAGGCCAAGGACACAAGCAAUGAACCCCCACAACAAGGGCAUGCAAAGAUGUGGGCAUGUGCCACAUCAUUCUGCACCAUGCAUGCCACUGCAUAUGCAUAUAAUUGGCCAUCAGAACUGAGACUGCUUAAUUUGCAGAUUAAGCUUCACUGGUAUGCUUUAGGCUGGUUGAUGUUGUGCCAAGGAUGGCUACUAGCUUCUGGAGUUGUAUAGGAGCUAUAUUUGGCGACGGCGAUGGUGAUGAUCCAUCCACGGAUGGAUCGAGGGUGAUGGCGAAAGGAUCAAGGGUCAUUUUGCUUUACUCCAGUCACUUCCAUGCCCAAAGGAAAGGAUCUUAGCUUGGCCCCCAUAUGCAAGCACGCCAUGCAGUGCACCGACCUAUCACACGCUUUUAUCGUCAACACACUCUGUCGACGUACACUAGCGGCGGGUGUGCCGCUUGAUUGCAAGGCUUUUGAAACUUUUGGCCCA